AAAAAUUUUAUUUUACAACGAAAGUAUGUAGGUACAAGGUACCUAUAUAAUAAAAAUAGGGAUACAUUUAUAGUAUGCAGUGUACCCGGUGUAUUCCAUCAGCUACAACGGUUUGCCGGCCAGUUUAUUCGGGAGACGAAGACAUUCCACACGAAUCGUUUCGUUCCCGACAUACCUCAAUGAGGACGCAUUGUUUACACAGGAAAACUGGUGGUGGUUGGAAGGACCAGCAGCAGAUAACAACGUUUUGAUGAAUUGCAAACUAUUUUAAAAUAUUAUUUAAAUUGCUGAAAUGAAGUUUAACAAUAAACUGUUAUCGGAGGAAAUGUGGAUUGAAUUCUCGUGGUCAAGACCCAUGUCCAACCGUGAUAAAAUUCGAACAAAUUAUCAAUAAAACAUAAUAUACACAUGCGAUAUUUACGCGUCCCACGACAGGAUAGUUAAUUUACCUGACAUUCACUAUGCAUCGUUAUGUAUACUAACAUCGAUUUUGUAUCUAAACUUAAUGACCGACACAUUAAAAUGCUUCAAGUUGCAAAGUUCACAUGGAUAUCGUCGAGUCAACGUUCGAUUGUAAACUGUUGUCGGUUUGCCGAUUAUCGUUCAACAUUCUUCAACGUGAUGUACACUCUGUCAAAAUUUUUAUACUCUCUACUGUUCUGCACAUCACGGUUUCAAUCACCUUCAACAAACAAAAUAAAAAUAAAUACAUAAAAAAAAUCAUAAAAAUGGCUUUCGAAGUGUUAGCAUCUUUUUCUAAAGUAUUAUGCACUUUUAAUUUGUUUUUGUGAUUAAUUUUUUUUAUAGUUU